rnacentral:rRNA from 1 species
CCAGACUCUCUACGGGAGCAGCAGUGGGGAUCUGCACAAUGGCGAAGCUGAUGCAGCGACGCCGCGUGAGGGAUGACGGCUUCGGGUUGUAAACUCUUUCAGUUGGGACGAAGCCCUUCGGGGUGACGGUACCUUCAGAAGAAGCACCGGCUAACUACGUGCCAGCAGCCGCGGUAAUACGUAGGGUGCGAGCGUUAUCCGGAAUUAUUGGGCGUAAAGAGCUCGUAGGCGGUUUGUCACGUCUGCUGUGAAAGCUCGGGGCUUAACCUCGAGUUUGCAGUGGGUACGGGCAGGCUAGAGUGCAGUAGGGGAGACUGGAAUUUCUGGUGUAGCGGUGAAAUGCGCAGAUAUCAGGAGGAACACCGAUGGCGAAGGCAGGUCUCUGGGCUGUUACUGACGCUGAGGAGCGAAAGCAUGGGGAGCGAACAGGAUUAGAUACCCUGGUAGUCCAUGCCGUAAACGUUGGGCACUAGGUGUGGGGAACAUUUCCACGUUUUCCGCGCCGUAGCUAACGCAUUAAGUGCCCCGCCUGGGGAGUACGGCCGCAAGGCUAAAACUCAAAGGAAUUGACGGGGGCCCGCACAAGCGGCGGAGCAUGCGGAUUAAUUCGAUGCAACGCGAAGAACCUUACCAAGGCUUGACAUGCACUAGAUCGCCCUAGAGAUAGGGUUUCCCUUCGGGGCUGGUGUACAGGUGGUGCAUGGUUGUCGUCAGCUCGUGUCGUGAGAUGUUGGGUUAAGUCCCGCAACGAGCGGAACCCCUAUUCUAUGUUGCCAGCAAUUCGGUUGGGGACUCAUGGAAGACUGCCGGGGUCAACUCGGAGGAAGGUGGGGACGACGUCAAAUCAUCAUGCCCCUUAUGUCUUGGGCUUCACGCAUGCUACAAUGGCCGGCACAAUGGGUUGCGAGACUGUGAGGUUGAGCUAAUCCCAUAAAACCGGUCUCAGUUCGGAUUGGGGUCUGCAACUCGACCCCAUGAAGUCGGAGUCGCUAGUAAUCGCAGAUCAG